rnacentral:misc_RNA from 1 species
GAAAUGCGAUAAGUAAUGUGAAUUGCAGAAUUCAGUGAAUCAUCGAAUCUUUGAACGCACAUUGCGCCCGCCAGAAUUCUGGCGGGCAUGCCUGUUCGAGCGUCAUUUCAACCCUCGAGCUCCCCUUGCGGGGGGAGCCCGGCGUUGGGGACGCGGCGCCAACAGCGCCGGCCCCGAAAUGGAGUGGCGGCCCGUCCGCGGCGACCUCUGCGUAGUAACAUCCACUCGCACCGGGACCCGGGCGCGGCCACGCCGUAAAACACCCCACCUUCCGAAUGUUGACCUCGAAUCAGGCAGGAAUACCCGCUGAACUUAAGC